rnacentral:rRNA from 1 species
AGAGUUUGAUCCUGGCUCAGAGCGAACGUUAGCGGCGGGCCUAACACAUGCAAGUCGAACGAGAAUGUAGGCUUCGGUCUACUAGUAAAGUGGCGCACGGGUGCGUAACGCGUAGGCAAUUUUCCCUAAGGACUUGUAUAACCUUGAGAAAUCAGGGCUAAUUCAAGAUGAUGUAACGGAAUCGCAUGGUUCUGUUACCAAAGGCUCCAAAAGAGCGCCAAAGGAUGAGCCUGCGUCCCAUUAGGUAGUUGGUGAGGUAACGGCUCACCAAGCCAACGAUGGGUAGCCGGUCUGAGAGGAUGAUCGGCCACAUUGGGACUGAGGCACGGCCCAGACUCCUACGGGAGGCAGCAGUGAGGAAUAUUGCACAAUGGACGAAAGUCUGAUGCAGCAACGCCGCGUGCGGGAUGAAGGCCCUAUGGGUUGUAAACCGCUGUAGAAAGGGACAAAAACUCUAUUUCAUAGAGUGAGAUGGUACCUUUAAAGUAAGCCUCGGCUAACUACGUGCCAGCAGCCGCGGUAAUAC